rnacentral:tRNA from 1 species
GCCGGUGUGGCUUAGCUGGUUAUAGCGCCAGACUCAUAUUCUGGAGGUCGAGGGCUCGAAUCCCUCCACCGGCA